rnacentral:rRNA from 1 species
UAACUGGAGAGUUUGAUCCUGGCUCAGAAUGAACGCUGGCGGCGUGCUUAACACAUGCAAGUCGAACGA